GAUAGGAGAUCAUACAGAUAAAGCACACCUGGGGAUGUACUGAUCCUACAUUUGACCCUCACAGUCAUCCGGAAAAGAAAGCUGGGGAAGGAGCUGAAGGAGUGGGGCUUGGCACCUCAUUUUCCCAGGAAUCAGGACUUGGAGAAACGUCUGUUUCAAGAGUUGGGGUAAAAAGAACACCAGAUAUGCCCGAGACAUGCUGAGCCAGAAAGCAAGGAUACACUCAAAGAAAGAUGGGGUGUGCCAAGUGGACAGAGAAGCCAGAUUGUUGGAGGCUGACAUCGCUAAUCUAAGAAAUGUGAGCAUCAAAAUCCAUACUGAUGGAAACAAAUUAUCUACAACUUGCUGAAUAAAAUGAGAAUCCAUGAAUCCGACUGAUGUAAAUAAAUGAAUAAAAUGAAUGUUUGACAAGAAACAGGAUAUUUAAAGAUUUUCAAAGUAUCUCCUCAUAAAAUACUUGUUAGUAACAAAGAGAAGAGAAACUUGGCAGUAAAGGUGGCUGACAGGCACUGCCUUAAUCAACUGAUCAAGGUGAACCUCAUCAGAGAUGGGAUACACCAAAAAGUUGUUUCACUUGACAAUAAAAUGCAAAAGGAACAACACAGCCUCAGUUCUGUGAUAUUCUUUCCAAAACUGCACAACCUGAAGCUCAUCACAAGGAAACCAAGCAAAUCAAAAUGGAAGGACAGACUACAAAGUAACUGACCUAUAAUCAUCAAAAGUGUCAAGGUCGUGAAAGUCAGUGAUUGAGAAACUGUUCCAGAAUGAAAAAGACUGAAGAAACUUAGCAAAUAAAUGCAUCACGUGCAUUUAUUUGCAUCACCCUAUUUGCAAAAAUAGGGUCCGUUGGCUCUAAAGGAUGUUAUUGGAACAACUGGUUUAUCAGUUGUUAAAUUUCUUAAUAUUAAUUGGAGCAUGGUUAUCUAAGAGAGUGUCCUUGUUUGUAGGAAAUGCACACUGAAGUGUUCAGGAAUGAUGGGACAUCAUGUUGGUAACUGACCCUCAAAUGGCUCCGGAGGAAAAAAGUAGUUUCUUAUGUCCUACGCUGACAUCUUCAGUAACUUUUAAAAUCAGAAAAAAAUGCAAUAAAAAGAAUAACCUGCCUCAUCA